AAAAAAAAUAUUAUCUUAGCUGACUGCCAGGACUUAAAUCAAAGGGGAAGCUGUCAAAGGAGAAAACAGGAAAAGGAACAAUUGCAAAGAUGAGACACCUGAGGCAAACAACUUCAGGAAUAAAUACAUAGGAUGAGUUGAUGGCUAAACAGAAUUGCUUUGAUUUCUAUGGCACAGGAGAACAGCUGCACUUUCAGUUUGCUGCUUUCAGCCUAGCACAGAGCAGUGCCACCUUCACAAUGCAUCUGAGCUCUAUCAGCCUGGUGAACAAGACAGCAAAGGUUAUCUGGUGUGUCACUGAGCUACUUAUGCAUGAUGUGUGCUGAAUGCUGCAAAUACAGUCGCCAUGCUGCGCUGCUAAAUGUCACAGGGAGUCUUGGAGCUGAAUCUCAAGGAAUACAUUCAGACUUAGAUGUCUCUACCACUAUUGUUAGGAAUGAAACAUGAUCCAGGAAUGUGAUGUAUGUAGACUGUUAUCACUGGA